GACGAACGCUGGCGGCGUGCCUAAUACAUGCAAGUAGAACGCUGAAGGAGGAGCUUGCUUCUCUGGAUGAGUUGCGAACGGGUGAGUAACGCGUAGGUAACCUGCCUGGUAGCGGGGGAUAACUAUUGGAAACGAUAGCUAAUACCGCAUAAGAGUAGAUGUUGCAUGACAUUUGCUUAAAAGGUGCGAUUGCAUCACUACCAGAUGGACCUGCGUUGUAUUAGCUAGUUGGUGAGGUAACGGCUCACCAAGGCAACGAUACAUAGCCGACCUGAGAGGGUGAUCGGCCACACUGGGACUGAGACACGGCUCAGACUCCUACGGGAGGCAGCAGUAGGGAAUCUUCGGCAAUGGACGGAAGUCUGACCGAGCAACGCCGCGUGAGUGAAGAAGGUUUUCGGAUCGUAAAGCUCUGUUGUAAGAGAAGAACGAGUGUGAGAGUGGAAAGUUCACACUGUGACGGUAUCUUACCAGAAAGGGACGGCUAACUACGUG
rnacentral:rRNA from 1 species